AUUGAACGCUGGCGGCAGGCUUAACACAUGCAAGUCGAGCGAGCGGCGGACGGGUGAGUAGUGUCUGGGCAACUGCCUGAUGGAGGGGGAUACCUACUGGAAACGGUAGCUACUACCCCCUACCCUCAGCUUUGCCCAGAUGGGAUUUGCUAGUGGGUGGGGUAAUGGCUCACCGAGGCGACGAUCCCUAUCUGGGCUGAGAGGCGGACCAGCCACACUGGAACUGAGACACGGUCCAGACUCCUACGGUAGGCAGCAGUGGGGAAUAGUGCACAAUGGUCGCAAGGCUGAUGCAGCCAUGCCGCGUGUGUGAAGAAGGCCUUCGGGUUGUAAAGCACUUUCAGCGAGGAGGCGGUACUCGAAGAAGAAGCACCGGCUAACUCCGUGCCAGCAGCCGCGGUAAUAC
rnacentral:rRNA from 1 species